UCCCCACCGCCCGGCAUCUUGCCGGUGGCCACACGGGCGGUCGCGUCUGGGAGCCGGUGGUGUUAGCCAGCCGGUGACCCCGGGGGUCGGCCGCCCCUUUUGCUCCUGUGCGCACGGAGUCGGGGGACGGAAGACUGAAACCAGGACUCAAAGCAAAGCCAGGUCAGAGCCGGAGAGGGCCAGGGAGAUGGCGUGGCCACCAGACGAGGUGGGGCCGGCGGGCGGAGGGGGGCAGGGGCCAUCUGCAGCCCUGCACAGGGCAGCUUUCUCCCCGGCCGUCCUGUGGGGGCAGAACGUGCACCAGGAACCCCCUCGGGUCUUCUCACCAAGUGAGAACUGGUCCCGAGCAGGCCCCUCCUGUCCACGCCGCCCUCCCCACGCCCGCCCCGCUGCGGGCCCCGAUUCACAGCGAGGAGCCCUGCGUCUCUCAACCACACUGUGCGAGGCCACCUCGGGUCGCUUCACCCCGUCCCCCUCCGAACAUGGGCUCUCUCGGGGAGCGCCCCCACCCUCCCUCUGAGGACGGGGAGGCUUUCCAAGGACCUUGGGGUGUCGGCUCCCUCAGCUCGCGGAUUCGUGUUCCCUUUCGUCCUCGGAGAAAUGGAAUGCAAAGGGAGAAGCAAAAGCAGAGAGACGCAGGAAGGUGAGGGGUCUCGUCCCUCGGGCCAGCCGCGUCCCUGAGGCCCAGGAAAGGCCCCGGGCGUCUGAGGCCUCGCCCCGCCAGGGCGGCUGCUCCAAACCUCCUCCCUCAGCGUCCUGCCAGGCACUGCUUUCGUUCCUUGCCCAACGCCAAGCUGAGCCCCCACAUCCUGCAGGCUCGCGGCAGAAGGGCAGAGAAAUGCCUCUGGAUCCGCACCAGGCAAGAGCCGCCUGGCCCCCCCCCCCCCGUCCAAGACGGGCAUUUGGAAGGGCCUGACUUCCUGCCGUGACGCCCCCCUGCAUUUCCAGUGUGGCGAGCAGCCGGCCGGCCCAAGAAAACAGCGCCACGGGGUUUUGGAUCACCGCAGGGGAGAGUUUGCGCAGGCCCCGGUAGCUUCCUGGGGAAGGUGGCAGGGCUCCCGAAACGAUGAGGGCUUUGGGGUUAUUUUGCUGCGAACUGGCCAGAGGUGGGAAAACCGACCCGCACCCCAGAGCUGAAAGCCACACGGUUCCAAAACGCAGGGGCUUUAAAGAGCAGCCUUCUGGCCGCCCCACAGACCGGCCCACAUGCCCGCGGGGGAGCCCUGCCCCAGCCUGAGACCCAGGGCUCACCCGCUGCUCGUAGGCGGGACCCUGAGGUUACGGAUGCGCAGGACGAUGGCUUUCAAAUCGCUCUGCGGACCGACGGUUUGUGGCAAACGUCGAAAAAGUUAUUUCAAGUCGACGGACUCAAAGCGGGAUGUCCUGUGGCAAGAGGAGGAGGGGAGAGGAGGCCCAUUUUCUCCAGGUAAACGCGGGCCCCUGUCCAGAGGGCCCAGGGCCUCUAAGCCAGGCCUGGGUGAGAGCCAGGAGGCGGGAGGGCCCGCGGGUGCCCCGGCGAGCCCCCGUGCGGCCCUCCAUCCACCACGGGACCCCACGCUCUGCGCGCCUGCUUCAUUCCCUCCUUCCGCGACCCUCUGGUGUCUCCUGUAACCUUUGGCCUGUUACCCUGUGAGAGAGAGGUCUUCCAUCGUCCUGGGCAGGCGCCCGACAGGUAACCCGCAUUGUAACCUUGUAUGAUACUAGCACCCGGUUAUUUUUGACCGUGUUGGCCCGUGCCCGGCCCUGCCUGGCUGUGGGACCCCGCUCCAGCUGGUGCCAGGGGCCCAGGGCCGCUCCUCUACAGGCUGCCGUGACCGCGUGGGGCCGGGGGAACCUGGGGAUAUGCGGCGACCACCGCCGGCAAAGGAGCCGCACGGAUGUGCCCGUGAUGCGGGUAAGCACGGUCCUUCCGGUGGCAUGAUGCGAACAGCGAGACCUCAGGGCCUGUCCCUGUCUGCGGCCUCAAGAUGGGGCGCCCCGGGGGCCCCCCCCCCCCCCCGCUCCCUUCGCCAGCAGGCACGCAGGGCUCCUGACGGAGGUGAACAUCACGCUUCGGCCCCCGUAAAGGCUGUCGUGUUCACACAGCGCAGCCCCCCCCCCCCAUGAAGUCCUCGGCUGGACCCGGCCCCGCCCUCCUCCCUCUUUGAUGGGCACAAAACCCCAGAAAGAGGUGGAAACAGCAAACAGCCCACCUCGAUGAUUUGUUCUAAGACAGAGUGCAGUGCACUGGCCAAGCGGCGAGAAGCCCCAAAGCGGCCUCCCCUCAGCUCUGAGCGACUUAGGCCACGUCAGGGAACAGCUUCACUUGUGUCUCGCUUAGGAUGACAUCACUGUCGGCUGGCGUGCUGGGAACGUUAGGACCUCGGUGCCGGGCGGGGGAGGAGACAGGAGCCCGGCUCCCGGCAGCCCCACCCAUCCAUCACACCCGCGGGUUCGGGGCCGGCCUCUCUCUAGAGGGUCUCUGUGGGGGAACAGCAUCCUGUCCCCUCACACAAGAGCCCCCGUCUGUCCUGGAGACGGGUCUCGCAUUCCCCCCCCUGGUAGAAACCUGUAGGUCUCGGGGUGGGGGGGGGGUGGAGUCUGGGGGAGGGUGCUCCCGUUAGGGGGGCUCGAGGCAGCCCCCCACCCCCAGCCGCUCUGGGCCCCCUGCUGGCCUCGCCCAAGAACCAUGGAAACGCUAUUUUUAUCCUGAUGAACAAUAGUGCCGAAAUGUCUUCCGACUUGGCAAGACACAAAAUUUAGGUGCUGGGAGAGAGACUUCAAUUUCAAGCUUAAAGAUUACUUUGGAUCCCCCAGGACUCAGAAGCAAUUUAGAGCUGAUACCCUGAACAAGAGGAAGGUUACAAGAUUAAGACCAACUGCUGUUUGGAUAAAUGGAUUUAUUCGGAAGGAGCCCACCUUGGUCGUCUUCUGCCGAGCCUUGGUGACGUCAUACUCCACCUCGUCCAUCAGGGCCCUGCAUGCUAGACAAGACACGAAGCGUCUGUUAUCUCCGGAAGGCGCAGACUAAGGCCGCCCGGAGCCGGUCGCUAGCUCGACCCUCAGCCAGGGCGUCCCUGUCAACAGGGAAGGUACUCUCGUCCCCCGACUUUCCAUCCACAAGCACAGGCACUGCCUCAGCCGCUGAGAAUUCUCACCAGUAACAAGUAAAUGAAGCGACGCCUCCAACACCAGCCUCAUUUGCUCAGCAGAAAGCAAUUUUGGACGUGCCGUCUCCGCCCAGCCGUGGCCGAGGGAUGUGGAGGCGUGAUGGAGACAAAGCUCCCCCAUUCGGACGAGGCAUAAGCAGCUUCUGUCUGACUCAAGUAUUUCCGAGUCUCCCCGUGGGAACAGCACUGCCUUUACCUGCCCACGAGGUAAAUUCUGGCACUGUAGACCCGACCCGGUUCUAGCGCCGUGUCCUGAUUGCACACGGGACCGGGAUGGCCCAGGGCCCAGGCGGCCCGAUGACGACGACAAAGGCCAAACCGUCCCGAUGGUGACCCACACCAAUGCUGCGGGGGCUCGCUGCCCUCCUGAUGCGGACCGAGCUGUGUUCCCACGCGCACAGCCCGAGACCGCAACAGUCCUCCUGGGUCCCUGGGACCACACGCGUCUCAUGGCAGGGAUUUCAAAGUGUUUUGCCAGCUCGUUUGAGGGGGCAAACUGUUGGUGGCUUGAACCCGUUUUGCAUAACUUGUUUUGAUGGCUGUUUUGAUCUAAGAAAGGAGUUGCGGACACUGGGGAGGCUGUCAGGGGGACGUCCUCAAAACCGAGGGGCUGAGGAGGACUUGUCAACAUGAGCACAGGGAGGGGCCGUCAUCACGCGGUCUCUGGAAACUUCAAAGAAUCUGAGAGGACUCGGGAAGCGUGUCCGGCCUGGCGAGUCUGCUGCUGGCCGAUCUGAACAGCUCUCCGGAGGUCCUGGACACCUGUGCCCACGUGGCCAGGCCGCUCUUGGUCGGUGGUGGGGUCAAACCGUGCAGCGGGCUCGGGGGGGAGGGAGGCCCGGCCCGGCCGUGGAGGGGCUCCUGCUCGUGGGUACUGGUGCACGGUGUGCCGUGGCCCCUGGAGAAACGCCCUCCGGAACAGCCCGGCCUGCCCCCCCUCCCCCAGCUACCCGCCCCGGCAGCGAGGGACCUACGCGGGCGGCUGGCACCCCGCUUUGGCCGCAAGGACUCACACUCCCCAGAAACAACCGGUAGCAAAGUGCACCUCGGCUGAACCUGGACUUGACGGCCUUCCUCCCGCUUUCCCCGGAACGAUCGUGGAAUUCAUCUAUCGUUGGUUCGGAGUCCGUUAUUUCGUCAUUGGCUUAUUAGGAGACAUUAUCUGCUUUGCUACUGGCUUGUGAAAGAGUAUUAUUAUAAAUUACAAUGCCCGCCAUGAACCUGUGUUAAAUAGAUGACCAGCAAAGAGCAUCUCAGUCUCCGGGCAUAAUUUUCCCCCAACAAAACAGCCCCAAGGCCGUCACCAGCGGGGCAUGGAAGGUGUGUGGGUCCCUGCCUAGGCCGUCCGCUCAGCGCUUUCUGCGUCCCCCGGCGGGUCUCCCCCCACCCGGGGAAAGAACGCGGAGCCUCAGACAACACGCGCGUCCUUUCCGGCACCUGUACGGCCCCGGAUGGCUCUAGAAGUUGUGUUCCAUGACCUUCCUUCCUGGAGAGAGAGCUGGCGCUUGCCCUUGGCCCUGGGGUCGUCCCCUCCCUUUCCCACCACGGGGGCCCCCGAUGAGCUGGGCCAGGCAGCCCACAGAUACUGCAGGUGAGCGGCCACAGGGGCUGGUCCCCCGCCAACCCGGACAGCGAUUCCCCAUCCCCUGGGAGAGUGCUCAGUCACUAGUUUGAGUUUGUCAAAUCCCAGGCGAACGUAAGCCUGUGCCUCCUGGGCAGGAAUCGGGGAAGAUGGUCACACGCCAGCCCGAUGUAUGCUUAUUCCCUCAACCUGGGAUAAGGCGUCAGGCACCUGCAAGACCCCUUCGCCCACCCUCUGGAAGAGUCCCGAUUCCCAGAAUCCCACCCUGACCUGGUGACCCACCUGGGAUCCUUGAGGUCUCUCUGCUCUGUGUCACAGGCCCAGGUUUCAGAGUCCAGCCUGAUCAAAGGUGGCCUUGGCUCUCGAGAGCCCACAAGGCUGGACGUGGCAGGUACGGAGUGUGCCUGCCCCCCCCCCCCCGGGGCCAUCGGUCAUAUGUUAACACCUGUUCCCUUCCACUCAGUCCCCAAGAUUCGGGGCCACCGAGACAGCCAUGUAAAGGAUGUCUCCUGAGGACGGGCCCCUGGAGGGGCUGAGCUGAUGGCCGGGCCCCUGGUGUCAGGGAGGCCCGUGUCUCCUGCAUCUCUGCCCCCUUGACCCCGGGGUGGGGGGUGCGGUGGGAGGGGCCACACCCACUGGUCGAGCAGAGCAUCUCAGGGUCAGAGGUGACCCCCCCCCCCCCGACACGGAAGGUUCUAGCUUCUAGGACAGGCUGGGAGGGAGGAGGGGCCUCCCCAUGGAGGGGCGGCUCAAUGAGAAAAGAUCAUUUUAGAUUUCUGCCCCAGGUCACAGAACAAGUUAACAGAGUCACAUCAGCGACCUGGGCCUCCAGAUUUCCAGUCCGGUGUUAAUUUAAAUGUUAAUCUGAAAUCUUCACUUAAGUCACUGGAGUUUUGGGUUUAUUAGAGCAGGCGGCAGGAGUGAGCCUCAUGGGGGGGUUGGCGGGUCACGUUGCCUGCCAGAGGGCGAGCCCUCCUCCCCGCUGGGCCCGCCAGCCUCUUCCGUCUGUCUGCCUCCUCCCUUCUCCUGUCCUUCCUCUCUCUCUCUCUCUCUGUCUCUCUCUCUCUCUCUCUGUCGGAGUGAGAUUUGGCAAUGGCAAGGAGGUGGCGGUGGAUGUCACGGCAGAUUCAGCCUAUCCCGGAGGAGCUCAGGUGCCGGAGCCUUCUGGAAUCGCCUGGAAUCCCAGCCCUGCAGUUAGUGAGCCACGUGGCACCGGUAGCCAGAGAGCCGCCUGGAUGCGGGCGUUUACGCAGGGGACCAGGCAAGGGCCGCGAAUCAGGAAUCGCGGCCGCUCUCCGCCCGGCCCUGCUCUGCACGUGCCCUGGAGACUCGUGGAUCAACCGGUGUUCGGGCACCUGCUGUCUUCAAGGACAAGCGCAAGGUACCAGGAAGGAGCAGGGAGGGAGAGGUCACAGACCAGGCCCUGGAAGGAACCCGCACUUGACUGGGGGUCCGUGAGCAGCACUGAUGUGAGAAGGAGCCGGGGACGUGUGGACACGCGUGCAGACGCCUCGAGCAGGCAGGGCGGGUGAGGGAGGCCGGGCCAGGCAGCCCGUCCCUCAGCCGCACGUGCCGGGGAGCCCCAGACCCACCUUGGAAGGGGCCGAGCCUCAGGCCCCGGUCACAGGCUCUUGGUCACUGCUGGGGGUGUGGCCUGCCUCUUUGACAAGCACCUGUGACCACACGACGGCCACUCAAAGACCGCCCGGGGCGCCCGGGUCCGCUUAGUGGAGCCCGACACCUUUAGGGGGAGACGAAGCCCUGCCCGCUGCUCCCCACGGCGGGGAGGACACGUCGGGGAGAAGGGAGCACCACCCCCCACCCCGCCGACGAAGCAACACGCGUUCUCCUACGAGCAGAGUGGCUGAUACCUGAGU